rnacentral:rRNA from 1 species
GGGGAAUUUUCCGCAAUGGGCGAAAGCCUGACGGAGCAAUACCGCGUGAGGGAGGAAGGCUCUUGGGUUGUAAACCUCUUUUCUCAAGGAAGAAAAAAAUGACGGUACUUGAGGAAUAAGCAUCGGCUAACUCCGUGCCAGCAGCCGCGGUAAUACGGAGGAUGCAAGCGUUAUCCGGAAUGAUUGGGCGUAAGGCGUCCGCAGGUGGCUAUGUAAGUCUGCUGUUAAAGAGUCUGGCUCAACCAGAUAAAGGCAGUGGAAACUACAUGGCUAGAGUGCGUUCGGGGCAGAGGGAAUUCCUGGUGUAGCGGUGAAAUGCGUAGAGAUCAGGAAGAACACCGGUGGCGAAAGCGCUCUGCUAGGCCGCAACUGACACUGAGGGACGAAAGCUAGGGGAGCGAAUGGGAUUAGAUACCCCAGUAGUCCUAGCCGUAAACGAUGGAUACUAGGCGUGGCUUGUAUCGACCCGAGCCGUGCCGUAGCUAACGCGUUAAGUAUCCCGCCUGGGGAGUACGCAGGCAACUGUGAAACUCAAAGGAAUUGACGGGGGCCCGCACAAGCGGUGGAGUAUGUGGUUUAAUUCGAUGCAACGCGAAGAACCUUACCAGGACUUGACAUGUCGCGAAUUUCUGUGAAAGCAGAAAGUGCCUUCGGGAGCGCGAACACAGGUGGUGCAUGGCUGUCGUCAGCUCGUGUCGUGAGAUGUUGGGUUAAGUCCCGCAACGAGCGCAACCCUCGUUUUUAGUUGCCAGCAUUAAGUUGGGCACUCUAGAGAGACUGCCGGUGACAAACCGGAGGAAGGUGGGGAUGACGUCAAGUCAGCAUGCCCCUUACGUUCUGGGCUACACACGUACUACAAUGCUACGGACAAAGGGCAGCAAGCAUGCGAAUGCAAGCUAAUCUCAUAAACCGUGGCUCAGUUCAGAUCGCAGGCUGCAACUCGCUUGCGUGAAGGAGGAAUCGCUAGUAAUUGCAGGUCAGCAUACUGCAGUGAAUUCGUUCCCGGGCCUUGUACACACCGGCCCGUCACACCAUGGAAGCUGGUAGUGCCCGAAGUCAUUACCCCAACCGCUUGCGGAGGGGGAUGCCUAAGGCAGGACUGGUGACUGGGGU